UUGCUAAUGGAGCCACCCCCUGUCAUAAAGAGUCUGAAGUGAUCUGGACCAUCUGAACCCAGUGAACCUCACACUCAUCCAUUGCCUCAGUGACGUCAUCAAGUUCAUGGUCCAGGAGAAACAAGAGGAAGCUUGUGUGCUAGAAGCCUUGGUAAAACACAUGUGCUCCAGAGAGGAGAAGAUAAACUGUGAAGAUGAGAGACCUGGAAUGCAGUGGCCAGGUUCAUGCUGAGAUGCCCAACUCAAAGCCAAAGGGAUUUAAUGGUCCAGUGACUGGGAAAAUGGUCCAUAAUUCCGAUGGCAGGAAAUCUGGGAACCAAACUGCUUACAAUGAAUUAAUUGCAUGAACAAAACACAUGUGCUUAGGAACUCAGAAAUUUGUCCUGGAGUGAGACAGGUCAGUCCGGAGAUGAAGAAUGUGGCAAUAACCAUCAUGGAGAGAGGAGAAUCAACCUCUUCCACACUCCAGAGAUCCAGGAAUACAUUCUGUUGAUGGCUGAAGUAAUAGGAAUGCUUACCUCCAACUGCAGCUUAACACUCAACCACGGUGGUCAAAUGCCUGUUGCAGGUGGGCACUGAAGCAGUCAUUCCGGCUCACACAGAGGACUCCAUACCUGAGAGCCAUUCUAGUGCUUCACGCUGAGGACUGCAUUUCACCUUUACGACAACCAUAUAAAGUGGGUGCUGUUUUUUCUCUAUUUUUGCUAAUGAGGAAAUGGGGGAGGGAACUGUUUAUUUGCUGGAUGUCAAACCUUGAAGUUAUAAAUAAAAGAGCUAGGAUUUGAA